GACGAACGCUGGCGGCGUGCUUAACACAUGCAAGUCGAACGGAAAGGCCCUGCUUUUGUGGGGUGCUCGAGUGGCGAACGGGUGAGUAACACGUGAGUAACCUGCCCUGGACUUUGGGAUAACUUCAGGAAACUGGGGCUAAUACCGGAUAGGAGCUCCUGCUGCAUGGGGGGGGUUGGAAAGUUUCGGCGGUUGGGGAUGGACUCGCGGCUUAUCAGCUUGUUGGUGGGGUAGUGGCUUACCAAGGCUUUGACGGGUAGCCGGCCUGAGAGGGUGACCGGCCACAUUGGGACUGAGAUACGGCCCAGACUCCUACGGGAGGCAGCAGUGGGGAAUAUUGCACAAUGGGCGGAAGCCUGAUGCAGCAACGCCGCGUGCGGGAUGACGGCCUUCGGGUUGUAAACCGCCUUCGCCUGUGACGAAGCGUGAGUGACGGUAAUGGGUAAAGAAGCACCGGCUAACUACGUG
rnacentral:rRNA from 1 species